UACGAAGGGGGCUAGCGUUGUUCGGAAUUACUGGGCGUAAAGCGCACGUAGGCGGAUACUUAAGUUAGGUGUGAAAUCCCAGAGCUCAACUCUGGAACUGCCUUUAAUACUGGGUAUCUCGAGUCCGGAAGAGGUGAGUGGAAUUCCGAGUGUAGAGGUGAAAUUCGUAGAUAUUCGGAGGAACACCAGUGGCGAAGGCGGCUCACUGGUCCGGUACUGACGCUGAGGUGCGAAAGCGUGGGGAGCAAACAGG
rnacentral:rRNA from 1 species